rnacentral:rRNA from 1 species
UACGGAGGGUGCGAGCGUUGUCCGGAAUCAUUGGGCGUAAAGGGCGCGUAGGUGGCGGGACAAGCGUGCGGUGAAAGCCUGGGGCUCAACCCCGGGUCGGCCGUGCGAACUGUUUUGCUUGAGCACUGUAGAGGCAGGCGGAAUUCCGGGUGUAGCGGUGGAAUGCGUAGAGAUCCGGAAGAACACCGGUGGCGAAGGCGGCUACCUGGAUAGGUACUGACGCUGAAGCGCGAAAGCUAGGGGAGCAAACAGG